rnacentral:rRNA from 1 species
GUAGGGAAUCUUCCGCAAUGGACGCAAGUCUGACGGAGCAACGCCGCGUGAGUGAUGAAGGUUUUCGGAUCGUAAAGCUCUGUUGCCCUGGACGAAGAGCAUGAGGAGUAACUGCCUUGUGUGUGACGGUACAGGAGAAGAAAGCCCCGGCUAACUACGUGCCAGCAGCCGCGGUAAUACGUAGGGGGCAAGCGUUGUCCGGAAUUAUUGGGCGUAAAGCGCGCGCAGGCGGUUUUUUAAGUUCGGUGUUUAAGCCCGGGGCUCAACCCCGGUACGCAUCGGAAACUGGAAGACUGGAGUGUAGGAGAGGGAAGUGGAAUUCCACGUGUAGCGGUGAAAUGCGUAGAGAUGUGGAGGAACACCAGUGGCGAAGGCGACUUUCUGGCCUAUAACUGACGCUGAGGCGCGAAAGCGUGGGGAGCAAACAGGAUUAGAAACCCUUGUAGUCC